UACGAAGGGGGCUAGCGUUGUUCGGAAUUACUGGGCGUAAAGGGCGCGUAGGCGGCGUGUCAAGUCAGGCGUGAAAGCCCCGGGCUCAACCUGGGAACCGCGCUUGAGACUGGCAUGCUCGAGUUCGGGAGAGGAUGGUGGAAUUCCCAGUGUAGAGGUGAAAUUCGUAGAUAUUGGGAAGAACACCGAUGGCGAAGGGCAGCCAUCUGGACCGACACUGACGCUGAGGCGCGAAAGCGUGGGGAGCAAACAGG
rnacentral:rRNA from 1 species